ensembl:lncRNA
GGGGAUCUGAGAUGUGGGCAGAUGAAGGAGAAACCCACUGCCUUCAGAUAUGUGACUGUUGGGGCUGCUCAGCUCCGGUGUGACAGCAGCCACAGAAGUGCCAGCACCUCGCAGCCCAGCCCAAGGGCAGCUGGCUCUGGAAUUCCAGCCCUGUCCUGGUCUAAAUCUAGUCAUGAUCUUCCUGAUUUGCUUCCACAUCUACAAAGUGGGAAUAAUCAUAAUAUCUCAAUAUAUAAUCAUAAUAGUUACCAGGCACGCCGAAACAGAUCUUCAGCAUUUACACUUCAUAUCAUCUGUUAAGCUGCCUCUGCUUGACUAGGUCAUGCCUCUUUGGUGCUACCACAUAAAUGCUAAAACUUACCAUCAUCUCAUCUUUGAGCAGAACGGAUCCAAUUCUGCGCCUUUUUUGGAAAACUACCCUUUGAAAUACUGUUUUAAUCAAAAAGAACAGAAAAAAGUCUACUUGGCCAAUUCUUAUGUCAAGAUCCAGGACAGAUUGCUGGAUAGCAUUUUACAUUCAGGCUGAAAUUAUUACCCUGGCCCUUAGACACCAUUGACCAAACAGAAGAUUUGCUCCCUUGGGU